GAUGAACGCUGGCGGCGUGCCUAAUACAUGCAAGUCGAGCGAACAGACGAGGAGCUUGCUCCUCUGACGUUAGCGGCGGACGGGUGAGUAACACGUGGAUAACCUACCUAUAAGACUGGGAUAACUUCGGGAAACCGGAUCUAAUACCGGAUAAUAUAUUGAACCGCAUGGUUCAUUAGUGAAAGACGGUUUUGCUGUCACUUAUACAUGGAUCCGCGCCGCAUUAGCUAGUUGGUAAGGUAACGGCUUACCAAGGCGACGAUGCGUAGCCGACCUGGGAGGUUGAUCGGCCACACUGGAACUGAGACACGGUCCAGACUCCUACGGGAGGCAGCAGUAGGGAAUAUUCCGCAAUGGGCGAAAGCCUGACGGAGCAACGCCGCGUGAGUGAUGAAGGUCUUCGGAUCGUAAAACUCUGUUAUUAGGGAAGAACAGAUGUGUAAGUAACUAUGCACGUCUUGACGGUACCUAAACAGAAAGCAACGGCUAACUACGUG
rnacentral:rRNA from 1 species